rnacentral:rRNA from 1 species
AGAGUUUGAUCCUGGCUCAGGAUGAACGCUGGCGGCGUGCCUAAUACAUGCAAGUCGAACGGAGAUAGCAAUAUCUCAGUGGCGUCCGGGUGAGUAACACGUAGCUGAUCUGCCCUAUGUCGGGGGAUAACGGCGCGAAAGCGCUGCUAAUACCGCGUAAGCUCGCCGGGGUUAGAGGCCUGGUGAGGAAAGACUUGUCAACAUAGGAGGAGGCUGCGAGCCAUCAGCUAGCUGGUAAGGUAACGGCUUACCAGGGCGACGACGGCUAGGGGACCUGAGAGGGUGACCCCCCACACUGGAACUGACACACGGUCCAGACUCCUACGGGAGGCAGCAGUAAGGAAUAUUGCGCAAUGGGCGAAAGCCUGACGCAGCAACGCCGCGUGCGGGAAGAAGGUCUUCGGAUCGUAAACCGCUUUUCUCAGGGAAGAGGAUGGACGGUACCUGAGGAAUAAGUCUCGGCUAACUACGUGCCAGCAGCCGCGGUAAAACGUAGGAGGCGAGCGUUACCCGGAUUUACUGGGCGUAAAGCGCGUGCAGGCGGUACGUUAAGUCGUGCGUGAAAGCUCCCAGGCUUAACCGGGAGAGGUCGUGCGAAACUGGCGGACUUGAGGUUGAGAGAGGCAAGUGGAAUUCCGGGUGUAGUGGUGAAAUGCGUAGAGAUCCGGAGGAACACCAGUGGCGAAGGCGGCUUGCUGGCUCAGACCUGACGCUCAGACGCGAAAGCAUGGGGAGCGAACGGGAUUAGAAACCCCGGUAGUCCAUGCCGUAAACGAUGUGAACUAGACGUAUGGGGGCAACCCUGUGUGUCGCAGCCAACGCGAUAAGUUCACCGCCUGGGGAGUACGAGCGCAAGCUUAAAACUCAAAGGAAUUGACGGGGGCCCGCACAAGCAGCGGAGCGUGUGGUUUAAUUCGAGGCUACACGAAGGACCUUACCUGGGCUUGACAUACAAGUGGUAGGGGCUGGAAACAGUCCUGACCUUCGGGAGCUUGUACAGGUGCUGCAUGGCUGUCGUCAGCUCGUGUCGUGAGAUGUUCGGUUAAGUCCGGUAACGAGCGCAACCCUCGGGAUUAGUUACACGUGUCUAAUCCGACUGCCCGGUCAAACUGGGAGGAAGGUGGGGAUGACGUCAAGUCAGCAUGGCCUUUAUGUUCAGGGCUACACACACGCUACAAUGGCCGGUACAAUGGGUCGCCAACCCGCGAGGGGGAGCCAAUCCGCCAAAACCGGUCGUAGUUCGGAUUGCAGGCUGCAACUCGCCUGCAUGAAGCUGGAGUUGCUAGUAAACGUCGGUCAGCCAUACGACGUUGAAUACGUUCCCGGGCCUUGUACACACCGCCCGUCACGUCAUGGGAGCUGGUCACGCCUGAAGUCGGUGGGCUAACCUUACGGAAGCAGCCGCCAAAGGCAGGGCUGGUGACUGGGACGAAGUCGUAACAAGGUAACC